rnacentral:rRNA from 1 species
ACAGCAGUAGCCGCGGGAAUACGUAGGGUGCAAGCGUUAAUCGGAAUUACUGGGCGUAAAGCGCGCGUAGGUGGUUUGUUAAGUUGGAUGUGAAAUCCCCGGGCUCAACCUGGGAACUGCAUCCAAAACUGGCAAGCUAGAGUAUGGUAGAGGGUGGUGGAAUUUCCUGUGUAGCGGUGAAAUGCGUAGAUAUAGGAAGGAACACCAGUGGCGAAGGCGACCACCUGGACUGAUACUGACACUGAGGUGCGAAAGCGUGGGGAGCAAACAGGAUUAGAUACCCCCGUAGUCCCUGUCUCUUAUAA